UACAGAGGUGGCAAGCGUUGUUCGGAUUUACUGGGCGUAAAGCGCACGUAGGCGGACUAUUAAGUCAGGGGUGAAAGUCCCGGGGACUCCACCCCGGAACUGCCUUUGAUACUGGUAGUCUUGAGUUCGAGAGAGGUGAGUGGAAUUCCGAGUGUAGAGGUGAAAUUCGUAGAUAUUCGGAGGAACACCAGUGGCGAAGGCGGCUCACUGGCUCGAUACUGACGCUGAGGUGCGAAAGCGUGGGGGAGCAAACAGG
rnacentral:rRNA from 1 species